rnacentral:tRNA from 3 species
CGGGGAGUAGCUCAGCCCGGAAGAGCGCUGCGUUCGGGUCGCAGAGGCCGCGGGUUCAAAUCCCGCCUCCCCGA